rnacentral:rRNA from 1 species
GACGAAUGCUGGCUGCGUGCUUAACACAUGCAAGUCGAACGGUGAAGGGGAGCUUGCUCCCCGGAUCAGUGGCGAACGGGUGAGUAACACGUGGGCAACCUGCCCCUCACUCUGGGAUAACUCCGGGAAACCGGGGCUAAUACCGGAUACGACCGGGAGCGACAUCGCUCCUGGUGGAAAGAACUUCGGUGAGGGAUGGGCCCGCGGCCUAUCAGCUAGUUGGUGGGGUAACGGCCCACCAAGGCGACGACGGGUAGCCGGCCUGAGAGGGCGACCGGCCACACUGGGACUGAGACACGGCCCAGACUCCUACGGGAGGCAGCAGUGGGGAAUAUUGCGCAAUGGGCGAAAGCCUGACGCAGCGACGCAGCGUGAGGGACGAAGGCCUUCGGGUUGUAAACCUCUUUCCGCGGGGACGAAGCGAAAGUGACGGUACCCGCAGAAGAAGCACCGGCUAACUACGUGCCAGCAGCCGCGGUAAGAC